rnacentral:misc_RNA from 1 species
AAGUCGUAACAAGGUCUCCGUUGGUGAACCAGCGGAGGGAUCAUUACCGAGUUUACAACUCCCAAAUCCCUGUGAACAUACCAAUUGUUGCCUCGGCGGAUCAGCCCGCUCCCGGUAAAACGGGACGGCCCGCCAGAGGACCCCUAAACUCUGUUUCUAUAUGUAACUUCUGAGUAAAACCAUAAAUAAAUCAAAACUUUCAACAACGGAUCUCUUGGUUCUG